AAGUAACGCUAGCUAUAUGCUUAACACAUGCAAGUCGAACGUUGUUUUCGGGCGCGCUUGUCUCGCCUUGAGAACAAAGUGGCGAACGGGUGCGUAACGCGUGGGAAUCUGCCGAACAGUUCGGGCCCAAAUCCUGAAGAAAGCUAAAAAGCGCUGUUUGAUGAGCCUGCGUAGUAUUACGGUAGUUGGUUAGGUAAAGGCUGACCAAGCCAAUGAUGCAUAGCCGACCUGAGAGGGUGAUCGGCCACAUUGGGACUGAGACACGGCCCAAACUCCUACGGGAGGCAGCAGUAGGGAAUCUUCGGCAAUGGACGAAAGUCUGACCGAGCAACGCCGCGUGAGUGAAGAAGGUUUUCGGAUCGUAAAACUCUGUUGUUAGAGAAGAACAGGAGAAGUAGUAACUGGCUUCUUUUUGACGGUAUCUAACCAGAAAGCCACGGCUAACUACGUGCCAGCAGCCGCAG
rnacentral:rRNA from 1 species